rnacentral:misc_RNA from 1 species
CUGGCGGUGCCGGCGAAAACACACUUGGGUUCGGCGCCGGAUAGUGCGGGGCUGGCGCCGGCAGCGUGUAAUUGAAUCUUGACUUGGUUGCCGCAGCUGGGUUGGUAGCAGUGUUUAUGUUGGUGGUGUGGUCUUCCUCGAAAUUUGAAGCCCUAGAAGCUGUCAUCAUCCCGAAAGCAUCGCCGGAGCCGAAGUUGGAGCUCCGGCCAGCAGCGACGGAGUAGAAGUCGCUGUGGUUGAAGCUCGACCCGCGGGGCGUCGGAUUGCGAGACGACUGAAGAGAGUAGAUUUCCGCGUUUGUCAGGUUGGACGGACGCGGGGUGGCGCCGGAGAAGCCGACCGAGCGGCGGGAGAAGACGUCCGACCGCGAGGCGUUGGAGCGGCGGACGGUGACAUGCAAUUUGCCGUCAUCUUUCACCUCCGCAGCGGUUUCGAGCAUUUCUCGCCGCCCGUCGAGAGAGAGGACGUCGGGGUCGACGGUGAUGGUGGCGAUGGAUCCGGCGGUGUCGGGGAACUGGUCGGCGAUGAGGAGGCGGGCGGCGCGGUACUCGAACAUGAAGAGCAUCAGCGUAUACCAGAUGAUGCACUGGAGGACGACGAUCUGCACCAUUAGGGUUCCGGUGGAGUCGCCGUACAUUCCUUUGAGUAAGGGAAUCCCCAUGACGAGGGUGUUGGGGAGGGUGGCGAGGGAGAAGAGGGUGAUGGUGAAGUCAAGCGAGCCACGGCGGGAGAUGUUCGCCCAGACUGUCAGAGCUGCGAGGAUGAGGAGCUUCUGCAACGAGUCGGCGGCGAGGAAGCGGAGGUUCAUUGUGUAGGGGUUGUUGGAGGAGAUGAAAUGAAAGGAGAGGAGGGGGACGGCGAAGAGUGCGACAAACCGGUUGAUGCCGGAGCACUGAUCGGGAGAGAAGAUGUGCCACCACUUGACGGAGCCGUAGGCGAGUAUCAUGGCGACGUAGAGCGGCACCACGGCCGUCAUCACGUGGUAGAAGUCGAGUAGACUUAUCAUGUUUGAAUCAGUAGAUCGAAAGAUUAGAAGAGAUGGGAGGGAAGUGAGGAGAAGAGGGAGGAGUACUAGUAAGAGGAGGGGGAGCUGGGGGAUCGAGGAGCAUGUGUUUUGGUAUUGAUUUGCGGAUGGGGGCUUGGGGCUUUGCUUGCUUUGUGGUCUCCCACGCUUGGACUGGGCCUGGGUUUGUUUAUUUAUGAG